rnacentral:rRNA from 1 species
GCUAUCUGCAGUCGAGCGGACAGAAGGGAGCUUGCUCCCGGAUGUUAGCGGCGGACGGGUGAGUAACACGUGGGUAACCUGCCUGUAAGACUGGGAUAACUCCGGGAAACCGGAGCUAAUACCGGAUAGUUCCUUGAACCGCAUGGUUCAAGGAUGAAAGACGGUUUCGGCUGUCACUUACAGAUGGACCCGCGGCGCAUUAGCUAGUUGGUGGGGUAAUGGCUCACCAAGGCGACGAUGCGUAGCCGACCUGAGAGGGUGAUCGGCCACACUGGGACUGAGACACGGCCCAGACUCCUACGGGAGGCAGCAGUAGGGAAUCUUCCGCAAUGGACGAAAGUCUGACGGAGCAACGCCGCGUGAGUGAUGAAGGUUUUCGGAUCGUAAAGCUCUGUUGUUAGGGAAGAACAAGUGCGAGAGUAACUGCUCGCACCUUGACGGUACCUAACCAGAAAGCCACGGCUAACUACGUGCCAGCAGCCGCGGUAAUACGUAGGUGGCAAGCGUUGUCCGGAAUUAUUGGGCGUAAAGGGCUCGCAGGCGGUUUCUUAAGUCUGAUGUGAAAGCCCCCGGCUCAACCGGGGAGGGUCAUUGGAAACUGGGAAACUUGAGUGCAGAAGAGGAGAGUGGAAUUCCACGUGUAGCGGUGAAAUGCGUAGAGAUGUGGAGGAACACCAGUGGCGAAGGCGACUCUCUGGUCUGUAACUGACGCUGAGGAGCGAAAGCGUGGGGAGCGAACAGGAUUAGAUACCCUGGUAGUCCACGCCGUAAACGAUGAGUGCUAAGUGUUAGGGGGUUUUCCGCCCCUUAGUGCUGCAGCUAACGCAUUAAGGCACUCCCCUGGGGAAGUA